rnacentral:rRNA from 1 species
GACGAACGCUGGCGGCGUGCUUAACACAUGCAAGUCGAACGUGAUUUUUAAGGAAAGCCCUUCGGGGUGGGAAUUAAAAUGAAAGUGGCGAACGGGUGAGUAACACGUGAGCAACCUACCUUACACAGGGGGAUAGCCGUUGGAAACGACGAUUAAUACCGCAUGAGACCACAGAAUCGCAUGAUAUAGGGGUCAAAGAUUUAUCGGUGUAAGAAGGGCUCGCGUCUGAUUAGCUAGUUGGAAGGGUAAAGGCCUACCAAGGCGACGAUCAGUAGCCGGUCUGAGAGGAUGAACGGCCACAUUGGAACUGAGACACGGUCCAAACUCCUACGGGAGGCAGCAGUGGGGAAUAUUGCACAAUGGGGGGAACCCUGAUGCAGCGACGCCGCGUGAGCGAAGAAGGUUUUCGAAUCGUAAAGCUCUGUCCUAUGAGAAGAUAAUGACGGUAUCAUAGGAGGAG